GGGUAACCCCGACACCUAGCACUCAUCGUUUACGGCGUGGACUACCAGGGUAUCUAAUCCUGUUCGCUCCCCACGCUUUCGUGCCUCAGCGUCAGUUACAGUCCAGAGAGCCGCCUUCGCAACUGGUAUUCCUCCUAAUAUCUACGCAUUUCACCGCUACACUAGGAAUUCUACUCUCCUCUCCUGCACUCAAGCCCUACAGUUUCAAAAGCUUACUACGGUUGAGCCGUAGCCUUUCACUUCUGACUUGCAGGGCCGCCUACGCACCCUUUACGCCCAGUUAUUCCGGAUAACGCUUGCCCCCUACGUAUUACCGCGGCUGCUGGCACGUAGUUAGCCGGGGCUUCCUCCUAAGGUACCGUCAUUAUCUUCCCUUAGGACAGAGCUUUACGACCCGAAGCCUUCAUCGCUCACGCGGCGUUGCUGCAUCAGGGUUUCCCCCAUUGUGCAAUAUUCCCCACUGCUGCCUCCCGUAGAGUCUGGACCGUGUCUCAGUUCCAGUGUGGCCGAUCACCCUCUCAGGUCGGCUACCCAUCGUCGCCUUGGUAAGCUUUUACCUCACCAACUAGCUAAUGGGACGCGGGUCCAUCCUACACCGAUAAAAUCUUUGACAUUUCUAAGAUGCCUUAAAAAUGUAUUAUCUCGUAUUAGCAUAUCUUUCGAUAUGUUAUCCGUGUGUAUAGGGCAGGKUAMCCACGCGUUACUCACCCGUCCGCCGCUAAGAUUAAGAAGCAAGCUUCUUAAUCUCCGCUCGAC
rnacentral:rRNA from 1 species